rnacentral:tRNA from 1 species
ACCGAUAUGGUGGAAUUGGCAGACACAACAGCUUCAAAACCUGUCUCUUUUGUGGAAUUAAGGGUUCGAGUCCCUUUAUCGGUA